UGAGUAAUGCUUAGGAAUCUGCCUAUUAGUGGGGGACAACAUCUCGAAAGGGAUGCUAAUACCGCAUACGUCCUACGGGAGAAAGCAGGGGACCUUCGGGCCUUGCGCUAAUAGAUGAGCCUAAGUCGGAUUAGCUAGUUGGUGGGGUAAAGGCCUACCAAGGCGACGAUCUGUAGCGGGUCUGAGAGGAUGAUCCGCCACACUGGGACUGAGACACGGCCCAGACUCCUACGGGAGGCAGCAGUGGGGAAUAUUGGACAAUGGGGGGAACCCUGAUCCAGCCAUGCCGCGUGUGUGAAGAAGGCCUUUUGGUUGUAAAGCACUUUAAGCGAGGAGGAGGCUACCGAGAUUAAUACUCUUGGAUAGUGGACGUUACUCGCAGAAUAAGCACCGGCUAACUCUGUGCCAGCAGCCGCGGUAAUACAGAGGGUGCAAGCGUUAAUCGGAUUUACUGGGCGUAAAGCGCGCGUAGGUGGCCAAUUAAGUCAAAUGUGAAAU
rnacentral:rRNA from 1 species